UUCAAGCCUUCUACUUAAAUUUUCAAUAAUCAAUACAAUUUUCAAUUGCUUUAAUUGUUCAGUUUAAGUGAGAUUUUAACUAAAUUGCGUUCAGUUUAGUCAGAUUCCCACAACCGUUUGAGAGAAAUCAGAAAAGCUCGCAGUUAAUACACUCAGUAUCUGGCAUACUCACAAUUCUUAAACGAUUAGCCAGCCAAAUUGUUUUCUAACGAAAUAAGUUUUGGCAUGCUCGGUGGGAUAAAAUUUCAUCUCAAUACACAUCAUCACUGUUCUUAGCCAAAAAUUAGCAAAUAAUUUUUGGCACGUCUAGUGAGAUGAUUCUCAUGCUUCACUGUCAUUCACGUUCUUGAUGAGGCAUUACAAAAUGCCUUAUAGUGAUGAAGAAAAACUCGUGUCAACCAUUGCUGAUGCCUUAAAAAAAGGCAUAGGAAGGCAGAUGGAUAUAGCUCUUAAUAAAAUUAAUGCAAAUACGAAGAAGAUUAUUUUGCUGACUCAAUCAUUGGCUGAAAAGUUUAAUUUGCAUAUCCUGUUACCUUCUGAUGGCCAUGUCUCUAAGCCAGAAGAGUCUUAUGUGGUACCCAGAGGUGCUAAAGAGCCCAAGAGGCAGAUCUAGUCCCAUACUUCUCAAGGCAGUGUUGAGGGAAGUCAGCGAGGAAAGAUACCAGCCACUCACAAGAGAGAGGAAUAGAUGGCUAAGCAACCAAGAAUACUAGUUCAAUUCAGCCACCCCAAUGGCAAAACUGUUGUUCCUACCCAAGUUUUCAGUAACACUAACCUGACCACUUAUGUUAGUAUUUAUGAUGCAAAGGUAGUUAUAGGUCCUCAAGUGGUACUAGCCCCUCAGCAGGUGCAAACUCCCCAGGUGACCUUUGGCUCACCAAUCCCUCAGAUGGUGGCACCUAUAGCUCUAAUUCCAGUGGUACCAACAAUUCCUUAAGUGACUCAAGACUCAGGAGGCAACAAUCAUGAAGGAACUAAAAUAUCUAUAAUGCAGGUAUCUCAACCAACUGCACCGGUGUCCCAGGUGAUAGAGGAAAAUUUUGGUGGUCAAGUUUCUACAGCUUCUAAUGAUCAAUUCCUUAAGCUGGAGGAGCCCAACUUGACUUCUAUGAAUAUUAGAGAACUCAGGGGGCACCAGCCUAAAAUUUUCCCAGGGGGCAAUAUAAGAGGAAUCAAUGUUCUCACAGUUCAAAUUGCUUUUAUGACAAUUACAAUUGCUUCAGUUUUUAAGGUAACAGUUCAAAUGACACGAUUCUGCAAGUCCAAAGUCAUUGCACCUUGUAGGAAAUUGAUGGGAUAACUCUGAGCGUAAAAUAACCAAGGUUGACCCACAGCCUCAAAUAGUUGACUUUACGGCUUUUUCUAAGAACCUGCACUUGACGAGAAAGAGCUAGGAAUACCAUUGCUGAAAGGAGAAACCCGUGGUACUGCUAAUGGUACCUGCGGAGCUGCUGGUACCAAGGUACCGAUUAGUACUUAUGAACCAGAAGAGUCCGAUGCCAUAACUGCAAAUACAAGGGGCAGAGUGAGCAUUACCAAGCAACAAAAGUUAAGUAAGAAACGCAGACAUACAAGUUCUACAAUACUUAUAUUUAACAAAUGUAGGCAAUUGGCAGUUACCGACUCCAAGACUGACUAGUAAAUUAGUAGGUACUAGCUGGAGGUACCAACCUACACAUCACAGGUUUUGACCAACACAUUAGCAGGUACCAUUUGCGGAUAUUGACCUACAAACCAUAAGUACCGACUGCAGGUACCAAUUAACACUUUAUAGGCACCAACUAAUAUACUAUAGAUACCAAUCAAUAUUCUGCACGUACCUGAGUAGGUACCUGCGAAAUCAACAAUUCUAGAAGGUGAAUUAAUAAUUCCAAAAGUAAUCAACAUAGCCCAAUCACAUUCUCAAUCAUCAUUGAAUAUCAAAAAUCUCAAAGCUACUAAUUCAAGCAAGAAUGGCAAGAAGACCGUGAGAAAUUGCAACAAAGUGCAAGAUAGAAGGAAAAUAUCAAUCGAAGUAAUGAGAUGGUCAAUCGGCAUGCAUGAAUGGUUGAUGAGUGAUGAAGACUUCGAUGGUGAUUGGCGUUGGUGAAUGGCUAAGACGUAAGUGAAUCGGCGAUGGAGCAAUGCUGGCGUGAAGGAGCACCAAGGGAUUAGCAAUGGUAAUCACACAAGAGAAGAAGAAAAGAAGAAGAAGAAGAGAAAGUAUGGCACGUCGAAUGGGAGAAAGAGAGAGGAGAGAAAGAAAAAGAGAGAGAUGGCAUGGAAGAAUUUCUGAGAGGGAUAUCCAACAGAGAUAGAUUAAUAAGAUAAAAUAGAGAAAGAAUAACAGAGAAUCAAAGAAUUAUAAGUACAGCAAAAUAAUUAAAACAAAAGCAUAAAGAUUAAAUUAAACAAAACAAAUUAAACUAGGGCGGUAGAACUAAUCACAAAUAUAGGUAUAAGAUUAAAAGAUAUAGAAAGCAAAACAGAUAAAGAUAGAAUUAUAAGAAAAUAGUUUUUAUUGAAGCUCUAAUAUCGGUUACUUACAAGAAGAUAAGAAUUAUGGGGAGAAAAGAAGAGGUAACCGAAACAAUAACUUUCAAAAUGAAGUAGAGCGCCUCUUCCUUUUAUACAUGAAGGAAAGAGGUUUACAAUCAUUACAAGUUACUAUUGAAGCUAUUAUUACACAUGUGAAAGUUAAAAGAUGUCGAAAGUUGAGUGAUGAUUGCUGCAAGUUGAGUGGAAAAUGUCAAAAGUUGUUGCAAGU
rnacentral:misc_RNA from 1 species